rnacentral:lncRNA from 1 species
AGAUAUUAGUACCAGCUCAUAAGUUGGUUUCCUAUAGACAAACGUUAUUAGGUCCCCAUUUGAGGCCAAUAAUUGAGAAAGGAACAGCACUCACAUAUAAGAUGGAGAAGGCAAUAGCUAAAUGGUGCAUGGCAAUAUUAGGGGAGACAAUACAUUGUCCACUAUAACUACAAAUGUCUUGGCAAGAAUACGCAACAUGAAAUGGGACCAAGGUGACACAUUUGCAACAUACGAUUUUGACAACCUGUACCUAUCCUUAUAUCUUGAUCUGAUAUGCCUGAUGUUCUAUAAAUUUUUGUUUGAAAAUGUCCCAGAAGCCCAGGAAAGAGCACCAUUAUUAAGAGAAAUAGUCCACACAGUAUGCUACAGC